UGAGGAAUAUUGCGCAAUGGCCGAAAGGCUGACGCAGCGACGCCGCGUGGAGGAUGAAGUCCGAUAGGAUGUAAACUCCUUUUGUAGGGGAUGAAUACUUCGCUAUAUGCGGAGAUGACCGUACCCUGCGAAUAAGGAUCGGCUAACUACGUGCCAGCAGCCGCGGUAAUACGUAGGAUCCGAGCGUUGUCCGGAAUUACUGGGUGUAAAGGGCGUGUAGGUGGAGCUUUAAGUCGGUGGUGGAAUCCUGCGGCUCAACCGCAGAACUGCUUCCGAUACUGGGGCUCUUGAGUACGGCAGAGGGAGAUGGAAUUCAUGGUGUAGCGGUGAAAUGUGUAGAUAUCAUGAAGAACACCGGUUGCGAAGGCGGUCUCCUGGUCCGUUACUGACACUGAGGCGCGAAAGCGUGGGGAGCAAACAGGAUUAGAUACCCUGGUAGUCCACGCCUUAAACGAUGGGUACUCGGUGCUGGGCCGCGAGGUUCAGUGCCAAAGCUAACGCAUUAAGUACCCCACCUGGGGAGUACGAUCGCAAGGUUG
rnacentral:rRNA from 1 species